CUACCGGACAUGACGUUACGAGACUGCAUCCGCACAGUCGCAGGAGUGUGAUGCUCAUGCACAAUGAUUUGUUUACACGCUAUCUGACUAAUUACGUCCCGAUUUUUUGUGUGCUGCGGAUAUUUUCCUUCUAUUGAUACUUGGGCCCUUGACCAAGGUCCGGACUCUGCAUGCAACUUACCUUGAAGUAUACUUUAUUUUGGAGAACAAUAAAAGGAAAAAGGUGAAGAAACAGAAAUGUGUUUUUAACCCUCAUGCAACCAACACAAGAACAUACUUCAGGAUUACUAGGCCAUAAACCUUACCAAAUAAAUGUCAGUAAGGGCUCCUUCACAAUCAUAGGGCAGCAGUUCACCGGGUGAUACAUUUAAAUACGGUAGUAUCUAAACGUAUGGUACACCCAGAGACUUCCCUUUUGUAAAAGUUGCCAAAACGAUGCCAGUUUGGACCUUUUUUUUUUUGUCCCCUUUAUGUUUGAGUACAAUUUUUCUGUGUCGUAGAAA